rnacentral:lncRNA from 1 species
UUCACUAGAGACACCACCUCCUCUACUUCUUGUUUUGUGGGUGGUGAUCGGUUCACAAUUGUAUAUCAUUUUGUACCCUUCUACCUUAUGAUUUAGUUAUGUUUUUGAGUUAAACUUGUGUUUUUAACCUCUUUUGUGUUUGUCAUUCAGUUCAUUGAGCUCUAGGUACCACUUGAGGCAUUUGAAGUAAAAUGGUGAAAACAAUGUGUAAAAACUGAAGACUGAGUUAGAAAUUCAUUUCGGACUUAUCUUUUUC